UCGUCUGACGGUACCAUAUGAAUAAGCACCGGCUAACUCCGUGCCAGCAGCCGCGGUAAUACGGAGGGUGCAAACGUUGCUCGGAAUUAUUGGGCGUAAAGCGCACGUAGGCGGACCGUCAAGUCGGAUGUGAAAUCCCUCGGCUUAACCGAGGACGUGCAUUCGAAACUGAUGGCCUUGAGUACGAAAGAGGAUCGCGGAAUUCCCGGUGUAGAGGUGAAAUUCGUAGAU
rnacentral:rRNA from 1 species